rnacentral:rRNA from 1 species
UGAAGCGGCAACAGCUCAAAUUUGAAAUCUGGCUUCGGCCCGAGUUGUAAUUUGUAGAGGAUGCUUUGGGCGCGGCUCCAACUGAGUUCCCUGGAACGGGACGCCACAGAGGGUGAGAGCCCCGUAUAGUUGGAUGCCUAGCCUAUGUAAAGCUCCUUCGACGAGUCGAGUAGUUUGGGAAUGCUGCUCUAAAUGGGAGGUAAAUUUCUUCUAAAGCUAAAUAUUGGCCAGAGACCGAUAGCGCACAAGUAGAGUGAUCGAAAGAUGAAAAGCACUUUGAAAAGAGGGUUAAAUAGCACGUGAAAUUGUUGAAAGGGAAGCGCUUGUGACCAGACUUGGGCCGGGCGGAUCAUCCGGUGUUCUCACCGGUGCACUCCGCCCGGCACAGGCCAGCAUCGGUUCUCUUGGGGGGAUAAAGGUCCCGGGAACGUAGCUCCUCCGGGAGUGUUAUAGCCCGGGGCGUAAUGCCCUCGAGGGGACCGAGGUUCGCGCAUCUGCAAGGAUGCUGGCGUAAUGGUCAUCAGCGACCCGUCUUGAAACACGGACCAAGGAGUCAAGGUUUUGCGCGAGUGUUUGGGUGUAAAACCCGCACGCGUAAUGAAAGUGAACGUAGGUGAGAGCUUCGGCGCAUCAUCGCACGAUCCUGAUGUAUUCGGAUGGAUUUGAGUAAGAGCGUUAAGCCUUGGACCCGAAAGAUGGUGAACUAUGCUUGGAUAGGGUGAAGCCAGAGGAAACUCUGGUGGAGGCUCGCAGCGGUUCUGACGUGCAAAUCGAUCGUCAAAUCUGAGCAUGGGGGCG